CGACAGCUAUCUGCAGGACUUUGAGCGUCAGUGUGCUUUGGAGGGGCUAGAAAAGACUAAUUGGGCUGCAGUUCUUCGCAGCAAACUCUCAGGACGGGCAGCCGAGGCUUAUAGAGCGGUAUCUGAUGAGGAGAUACAGAACUAUGAAAAGGUAAAGGAGAUAUUGUUGCACAGAUAUGCGGUCACACCAGAGGCGUACAGGAGAAAAUUUUGGGGCCUCAGAAAAGGAGGAAGAGACUCCUAUUCCGAAUGGGCAUUCCGCCUAUACCGGGCUGCACGGAUGCAGGGCAACUAUUGCAGCUAUUCAUAGCAGUGCUUUGAUCACACUCACACUCCAACUGGGUGAGGGGCCAUAAACCAAAGACAGUGGAGGAAGCAGCUAAAUUGGG